rnacentral:siRNA from 1 species
UGCCGAUCGGAAACCAGAUGAG